rnacentral:lncRNA from 1 species
AUUAUGAAAACCACUCCGUAUAAACAACUAUAUAAACAUGAAAACCACUAUGUAUAAAACAACUAUAUAAACAUGAAAAGCACUUUAUAUACACAACUAUAUAAACAUCGAAAUUCACUAUGAAUUCUAACAAGAACACAUCAAAAAUUCUGCGAAAAAGAAGAUAUAAAACCACUAUAAAGGACACUCCGUAUAUUUUACGGUUAUUGCUCGUACAAUCACCAUUCUUGAUGGCGCAUUGUUGCUGAUGUAUCGAAAGAAUUUUGCAGUAGCCGUCCACGAGCCGUGGUAUUAAAACACAUCAGACCAAGUUCAACUUCACACACAUAUAC